CCUACGGGCGGCAGCAGUGGGGAAUAUUGGACAAUGGGGGAAACCCUGAUGCAGCGACGCCGCGUGAGCGAUGACGUCUCUCCGUAUGUUAAGCUCCAUUUGCAGGGGAGUAAAUGACGGUACCUGACUAAGUUGCCCCGGCGAACUACGGGCAAGCAGCCGCGGUACUAUGUAGGGGGCAAGCGUUAUCCGGAUUUACUGGGUGUAAUGGGAGCGUAGACGGCUGUACAAGACAGUUGUGAAAGCCCGGGGCUCAACCCCGGGACUGCAGUUGGAACUGUGUGGCUGGAGUGUCGGAGAGGCAGGCGGAAUUCGUGGUGUAGCGGUGAAAUGCGUAGAUAUUAGGAGGAACACCGGUUGCGAAGGCGGCCUGCUGGACGAUGACUGACGUUGAGGCUCGAAAGCGUGGGGAUCAAACAGGAUUAGAUACCCUUGUAGUC
rnacentral:rRNA from 1 species